rnacentral:rRNA from 1 species
UUUUUUGAGAGUUUGAUCCUGGCUCAGGAUGAACGCUGGCGGCGUGCCUUAAGCAUGCAAGUCGAAUGGGAACGUAACGCGCAAGCGUGCACGUUCCAAUGGCAGACGGGUGAGUAAUAUAUAGGAAUCUACCCUUCAAUGGACCAUAGCUCAUCGAAAGAUGGGGUAAUAGUCCAUAAUCCCAAGGUUUCACCUUGGGAAAUUCGAAAUCCGAAAUUCCAAAUCCGAAACAAAUUCUAAUUUUUAAAAUACAAAUUACCAAAAGUUUUUGAAUUUUUAUUAUUAAUUUUUUUGAAAAUUGUUUCGAGUUUCGAUAUUCGAUAUUCGAAUUUUCUAGAGUGAAGCUUUGGGUAAAGAUCUUAACUGAUCGUUGAAGGAGGAGCCUAUAUCCUAUCAGCUAGUUGGCGGGGUAAAAGCCCACCAAGGCAAUGACGGGUAGCUGGACUGAGAGGUCGGUCAGCCACAACUGCACUGAGACACGGGCAGUACACC